GGCAGUGUGGUAUAGUGGUUUGAGUGUUGGACUACAAAUCUGGAGACCAGGGUUCGAUUCCUAGCAUGGGUA